GAUGAACGCUGGCGGCGUGCCUAAUACAUGCAAGUCGAGCGAAGAGGGGACGGGUGAGUAACACGUGGAUAACAUCCUAUAAGACUGGGAUAACUUCGGGAAACCGGAGCUAAACCGGAUACUGAUCGAUGGAUCAGCGCUGCAUUAGGUAGUUGGUAAGGGAACGGCUUACCAAGGCAACGAUGCAUAGCCGGCCUGAGAGGGUGAUCGGCCACACGGGAACUGAGCCACGUUCCAGACUCCUACGGGAGUCAGCAGUAGGGAAUCUUCCGCAAUGGUCGAAAGCCUGAUGGAGCAACGCCGCGUGAGUGAUGAAGGUCUUCGGAUCGUAAAACUCUGUUAUUAGGGAAGCGUUACCUACUCAGAAAGCCACGGCUAACUCCGUGCCAGCAGCCGCGGUAAUAC
rnacentral:rRNA from 1 species